rnacentral:rRNA from 1 species
CCUACNGGCCGCACCAGUGGGGAAUAUUGCACAAUGGGCGCAAGCCUGAUGCAGCCAUGCCGCGUGUAUGAAGAAGGCCUUCGGGUUGUAAAGUACUUUCAGCGGGGANGAAGGCGAUAAGNUUAAUAACCUUGUCGAUUGACGUUACCCGCAGAAGAAGCACCGGCUAACUCCGUGCCAGCAGCCGCGGUAAUACGGAGGGUGCAAGCGUUAAUCAGAAUUACUGGGCGUAAAGCGCACGCAGGCGGUCUGUCAAGUCGGAUGUGAAAUCCCCAGGCUCAACCUGGGAACUGCAUUCGAAACUGGCAGGCUAGAGUCUUGUAGAGGGGGGUAGAAUUCCAGGUGCAGCGGUGAAAUGCGUAGAGAUCUGGAGGAAUACCGGUGGCGAAGGCGGCCCCCUGGACAAAGACUGACGCUCAGGUGCGAAAGCGUGGGGAGCAAACAGGAUUAGAUACCCGUGUAGUC